GGGAGUUGUCUCAAGUAAACAUUAUCAUAAAUACUAAGAGCGAUAAGGAGCACAGCAGUGAUUUUCAAACCGACACUGCUUCAAGGGAAGACUGCAGUCCUAUGUAGACACGUGCGAGUCCAGCCUGGCUGAUGUAGUCUGCCAGAAGCCGGUUGACUUCUCUGCUCUUGGGCAUGGCCAGCAUUCCUCCCCUUAGUUUACAGUUCAUCAGAGCAUCUCUGUACUUUCUGGCCUCCUUCACGAUCAGCUUGCUCACAUUGAUGUCUAGCUGGCCAACAAGCUUUCUGUACCUCCCACAAUCACAAGUGGUCCCUACAGAAUCAGAUACAUGGAGGAAACAGACGGACCCAUCUUUCCCAUCUGCCCCACCUCUCCUUUAAAUCCUGUCUCCCCUGGCAACCCUGGAUGGAGGGAAGGAGACAAAGGGUGAACAAACUGCUAAAUCAAUAACGCUAUUGUAGCAAGCAUGCGAGAAAGGCACAGUGCUGGGAUUAAAUCUCUCUGUAUUAUUGCUAUCUCCCACAGCAGACAUCGGUUGUCUGAUUUACAGUACUUGUCUAGGAGUUGGACUUAAAGAUAGUUACCACAGUCCAAGACUUUCAUCCAGAACCGGAGUAUUCCUUUAAAAAAAUCCCUCAGCAAAUCCCUAGUAUUUUAAAUAAUUGGUUGCAUGCGGUAUACAGUAGCUCUACUCUCUAAAGGAAACCUACAAAGCCAUUUUACCAUGUUAAACCUACUCUAGACCGAGAUGCUCUCAGACUUGUGUCUGAUAACUGUCAGUGUUCAUUUAUUUUAACACUGUUAAAAUUAACUCAAUAUCCAAAUGAUACAGUUAACCCUGUUAAAUUUGAUUUGUUACAAAUCAAAUGAAUAAAUAAAUGGAAAC